ensembl:snRNA U5 U5 spliceosomal RNA
AUACUCUGGUUUCUCUUCACAUUGUAUAAAUCUUUUGCCUUCUACUAAAAACUUCCAUGAAGGGGUGCACCUCAGAGUCUUAAACAAUUUUUUUGUAUCAUGCAACAGCAGAAC